UACAGAGGGUGCGAGCGUUGUCCGGAAUCAUUGGGCGUAAAGCGCGUGUAGGCGGUCCGGUAAGUCCGCUGUGAAAGUCGGGGGCUCAACCCUCGGAUGCCGGUGGAUACUGUCGGACUUGAGUCGGAAGAGGCGAGUGGAAUUCCUGGUGUAGCGGUGAAAUGCGCAGAUAUCAGGAGGAACACCAAUGGCGAAGGCAGCUCGCUGGGACGUGACUGACGCUGAGACGCGAAAGCGUGGGGAGCAAACAGG
rnacentral:rRNA from 1 species